GUGAAAAUGUCUUGCAAUUUUCAAAAAUACCUGAAUUCAUCGAUAUCCAGUGUCAUGGCGGAUAAGAAAGGAAUGAUACUGGUGCUCAAGUGAGGGUGUUACCGUAAUAAGUGCGCAACUUGAAAAAAGGCUUAAGUUAAAUUCAUACGUGAAGUGAGUGAUGAAUUUCUGAGGUAAAUGGGCUUUGAGCACUUUAUCAGUACGUAAAUUACCUCGCUAAUGCCCACGAAGGGCUAAACGAAUGCCUGAUCCAUUAAAACUGUCGGUACUGAUUUGAGCCGAACUUAAUUUGAUAUGCAAAUGUUUAUAAUUUCACAUAGAAAAGUGCCCACAUCUACAAGAUAGAGUUCAUCUUUUGACUUUGAUGGACUUCACAGUACUAGAUGUCUGACGUCUGGUAAUGUUUGAACGGUAACGAAAAAAUAGGAUAGCUUUAUGAUAUAAUAAGGGGUUCAAUAUGGGACAAAACAGAAGUUAAGAAGAAGUCGUCCAGGUGAUGUGCCAUACCUACAUUAUUCAUUAUUUCACUCGAGGCCUAUCUCGCACGAGGCCUGAAUAGUCCCCGAUGGACAUGAUAGCUACCACCUGUUUAUGUAUCUGUACGACGUGAAUAGGACUUGAGUGCAUGGUUCUAGUGGCAUAAUGUCUUUCUUUAUUGGCCUUAAGCAGCCUGCUAUUACACGUAAUAUCAAAUCGAUUCGAUCUCACCACUUGCUGCUUAAGGCUAUUAGUUAGCUGUGUUAUACAAGUGCAAUCAGCUGAAGGGACAUCUUGCGCGUUACUUUCCCUUGUUUUUCUUCAUUUUAUUUUGUAUUAAAUGCAACUCACGCUUUACGGGGUAAGUUUAUGAAUGUGAAUGUAGUUAAAUGAAAGUGAGGCACAACACGCAUAAAAAGGAUCUGAACUAGAAACUUACCGACCAUAUGUGGGUGAACCAAAAAAUAUCUAUAUGUACGAGGCCACGGCCCGGUCCGGCGUUCUUACACUAGAACAAUCUAAAUGAUUAAUUUCUUUUUACUUUUGCAUUACGGUAUCACCUAACUCAAAAGGUCAAUUUUUUAGGUUUUGUGUGUAAUAAUGUUGUGCAUUUAUAUUUGUAUUAAUACGGCGCUUCUUACGAUUUCUCUACAAUUAGAAACGGAGGCAAAAUAUAGCAUACAACGUACAGGAUCACGUGCGCUGCAGGUAGCAGCUAUGAUAGCAGAAAGCAUAUUUACUCUGUUCUAUUUCAUCUGGAUGAUAGUAUACAGUUACCAGCCCAUUUGAAACAAAAACCUAUGGUCGCAUCCACUCAAAGAUAACAAACGUUUCGCAAUGUCUUGGUUCCGACAUGGGGUCGCGCAUGCUGGAUGUUAAGUAAAUUUAACCCGAGUUUUGCUAUAAUGAUACACUAUAAUAGCACAGCUGUUCCCUGUUCCAAUUAUUAUGAAGUAUAGAUAAUCCUUUGUGUUUUCAUCUUUGACGGCUAGAGCGAGCAUAUCGGCGACUGUUUCGGCUUUCGAAGAUCAUUGUAGGCCUUUCUAAAGUGUUAAAGAUCUCAUUCAGUAGAGGCUGUCUGCAGAAUUGUCAGCUUUUGCGAGACAGACGAGAGCUUAGCGUAAAGGCGAUACCUCGCGCGCCGUCUAGCUCAAGCUACGCAUGCGCAUCGCAGCGCCCGGUUAAGCCGCCGGCCUCAACCACGGGACACCGAGCCCAAACACCCGCUCGUCGAUUGACUGGGUCCUCUAAACUCAGGUAGUUCCCAACUCAGUUACCUCUGUCGCAAAUUCGAACACUCGACAAUACGCGAUGCUUGCUAAUAUUUUUCUACGCUAGACCACUACAACGAGCCGUUGGAAACGCUAUAAAAUGUCAACGCCCGUUUGAAAGACAUCAAUUGUUUCAGUGUUGACAUUUGUAAUGUAAACGUGGCAACGGUAGACGUGAUCAUUCGAAAAGAACAGCAGCUUGCAGAUUCGCAAUGAAUGGUUUAGACAAACCAGUGACCCAACCAGGAUUUCGGCCAGAUUUGGUUAAAAACCCUUCGCCGCUAGCCUCCCUCCCGAAUAAGGGCGAUGUCCCAAAUAAGCUUGGGCGAAGUGACAGUGAUGAAAUUAUUCGAGAGCUGAAACUCGGAUUUUUUGAGAAGCUGCGCUUCAAACUUAUGUCACGUGAGGAAAGAGAAGCAUACCUUAUAGAGAAGGUUAACAAAGAAAAGGAGCGACGUAAAAAAAGGGCGUUACUCAAUGAUGGCAAAUAAAUCCUUGAGCAGUGUUCAAACGAAGAUGAUGAUUUCUGCUUGGUGGCCUGGUGGAUAAUUGCAUACAGUGGAAGCCGGUUAAACGCUUUCUACGUUUCAUACAAUGUAUGAGGUGCGAUAUCGCAAACUAUCGUAUAAUCCUAAUCGUGGUGCAGUGAUAACCAAGAUACAGCCUAACGCUAUCAGCAAGGGGUCAUAAAAUGCAAGCCCAGCGACAGAACUGUUCGCGAGGUUCGUGGGUAAGGUCCGUUUUGAUUGCCUUAACCUAAAAUAAUGCAUAAUACAAUUAGACUGCGCCCCUCCUAAAAUUGAUUCAACGUACCAAUGUGCUUAACAAUGUUUCCUGUUGUCGAACUGGACUUGGCUAACUACGAUGAGCUAAAUAUGUUAAUGAUUUUCCCCUGUUUGUAUCCAUCCAUAGCUUUACGAUCGCCAAUAUCGGGACUAAGCUAUCCUCUCUGCCGGAAAUAAAAGUGUAUACAUCAUCAAGCAAAUUUCAUGAAACAGAAUCUAUACAAUUCAAUCAUGUAUACUUCAAGCAGGAGCCUCGCUUUCCGCGCUGAGACAAAAGAAAAUAGAAAUUGUCCCAGCUAUUUUCGAGAUGGUUGGCAUUAGAUUCGCUUCUGUUUGAUUUCUUCAGAGAAGCAGCAUUCGUCCCCCUUGUCGUUUGUUGUCCUAAAAAAAAACUACGAAAUGUUUGAAUCUAGAUAGAUAGUGGCGCCGACCUGCUCAGAGCGUUCCAUUUGAUUAGAAAUCUGUAUUGGCAUUGUAAUAUUUGGGUACAUUAGAUGUUUGGUAUCGUCUUACUUCGAUCGUUUUAUUUCGAGGACGACUAUUCCAAGUGUUCUUUACACUGAAAUAGACAAAAUGUUUCAUUCCUUUAUAGGUGACAUAAGCGUUUGUGGAGAAUAAGAUAGAAAGCCUGCGUAGCGAAUUCAGGGGUAAAUCUGAAUACAAUAGCGUCCAACAACUCAAUAAAUCUUUAUUGGAGACAAGUAUUACCAACGAAAGGAUACCUUGCCCAGGACCAUAUUUCGUAUUGACGUAGUAUCUAGUCAUUAUCUAGUCAGUAUCAUUAUCUAGUCAAACGGUUCAAUCGAAACGGUAGCGGUGCGUCCACUGCACUUCGGACGCAGCCAAGUUUUCGACUAAAAUUUGACCCUCGCUAACUCGAAAUAAAACAGGAUAGAUAAUAUAUCCAUCCGUCCAUCGCCACGUUAACAACUAAAUACGCACGGUCAAUAUAUAUCCAAGGCUCCGUGGUGAUCAUCCGCAAAGUAGACUUGGCGACUAACCCUAACAUAAAGGAGUAUUUGGAUCAAGAGAAGCCCGGCGUCGUGCUGUAAAUACUGCAGUAUCUCGUCAAUCGUGCUAUAAAGUAGUCUGAGAUCAUUGUGUCUGUCUAAUGAUAAAGGGUGCAUGUUAUAUUUAUAUGAAGUAUAUAAUUCGCCUGUGAUGAUAAAAAUGUCAUACCGUUAAAAUUAAAAUGUGAUCGAAGUAAUGGUUCUUGACAUUGCUUAACGUACGCAUAGAUUGAAGCUUCGUAUACGCUUCUUUAUAUAAUAAUAUCUUUUUCAAAAGCAUAUCCACAUUACCUGUUAUAUACGAAAGACGUACAUUUGUUGAACUUCGUGAAAAAAUCCUAUAUUUAGAUGCGAACUUAAAUCCUGAUAGGACAACUUCUGGUUAAUUUAAUGGAUAAAUUGCUAGUAAAAUAGGAUUAUAAAAACUGGUCAUUUUAAAUUAACAGAAUCAGAUAGUUCAUGUGGGUAAUUUACGAAUAUAAAUUUCAGAAGAGCGUACAUCCUAAAUGCGUCGGGGUUUGGCUCAUAAUAACCUGGAGCCAUAACUAAUAUACUUCUAAAGAUAAUUUAGCUACCCCCUGUUCUAAUAUGUAAUUUUCGUAAAGAAAUAGAGUAAAAGCAUUACUCUAUACUGAGGUAGACAUGAUACGUAAUACGUCUUACCUGGCCAAGUAAAUAACAUUCAAUGUCAGGUUUUGUUUAGAGUCUGUUUACAUUCUGUCUGAUGUUUACAUAAUGGUGUUACAUAUCUGGGUGUUUAAGAGUACGAAUAAUGACAAUUUCUUUCGAAGUUUUGAUACGAACUUUCCUAUCAAGACUGAGCUGUACAAUUGUUGCUUUUCAGGGCCAUGUCACAGAACUUUACAUGUCAUUGGCUUCAUGUCUACGUUGACGUUUGAUUCCUUAUAAAAUAUUAUUGCCACUAAAAUAUUCAAAGGCCAACACUGUAUAUAACUAAUAGAAAAGUUUUUCUUAUUCGUAUUGUAUAAAAAUCAGUCUCGAAACGAAAACUAGGCCUUUAGUCGAGGCAAUUGUGAUGAAAAACUCUGCGUUAUGUAGAAAAGUAAACUAGGUUAGGUUUGAAAUUAGCCAUAAGAUAAGCUUUCUCUAAAACCUUAGCUUACUAUUCAGGAUCGUAUUAUUGUUUUCGUUUCGAUAGAACUUUCAAUUAGGGACAUGCGUCAGAGUCCCGAUGUUGCACUAAUGAGACUAACUAGUAAGGCUAGUUGGUUGCCAUCUUUCGCUAACCUGACAGUGUUUCCUAGAAUCACGCUAAUAAUAGGCUGAUAGAAUGGUAUAAAAAUCAAUCGUAGUUUAGGUAGAGUUAAAGGUCUCGCAAAUAUCGCAAGAAGUAGGUUACAUUGUAAUUACUGUUUUGUCAUCUCCACACUUAUUCUUGUUAUUACUACGGCCUAAAAGGUACAUGUUUUUCUGCAAAGUUACUUCUCUACUUAGACAAUGAGAAGAAUUUUCUAUUAAAUCGUGUGUUAAAUCAGACGGUUUUAACUUCGCCAAUGCUUCGAACGUUUUUCUAAGUUCUAAUUUUAAGGGUUGGCUAUUUUUCGGUUGUUAGUGAAUGUCAUAUAAGUUUAAAAUCUAUCUAUCUAAAACUCUGCUUAAGUGGCCCAUAAAGACACAUCUACAUUAUAGAAAUAUAAUACGAUUGGCUUAGUGAUUCUUGGCUACACUUUUUUUUUCAAGAGAUUAACACUCGAACCAUUGUUGCCACGUUAAGCAGCGAUGCUUAUAAAAACGAUGGCACCAGAAGCUGGUAAAGCGAGUCGUCGAUCAUGAACUCCUAAGACCUUUUGUCGAAUUAAGCUUUCUUCAAUAUAUCUUCUGUUAGUUGUUAUUAAGAAAAACGCGAGCUGAAUAUGCCUUAUAAAAGAGGUGAGACCGCUGGUAUUGUUGCCGCCGCAUAAACGCAGCUCAGUCUAUACCCAAAAGGAGCUAAAGACUGAGUUGAGGUACUUUACCUUUUAUUAUACCAUGAUUUUAUGAUGUGCGUACUUUUUUCCCUGAUUAUUAGAGAAUUUACGUACAGUCCAGCUAAAACAGGUCACUACUUAACCGGAACUGAGGUAACAUGUUUUGCUAUUCAAUUUCUUCUUAAACCUUAUUUAUUACAAGCACAUCAUGAAACGUAGCUAAAAAAGUAAUAGAAUCAUUUGAGUGUGUGAAAUUUUUGGCAGACACGUUAAAAGUACUACCAUUCCCCAUUUUAACCUUUUACAAGUUGAUAAGAUUUUGAUUUUACCUUUUUCGAGCGAUUUGGGGAGUGAUUUUCUUGCAUACGUGAUUUUUCGAUGUUGAGCCUCUUACAGUCUAGGCCGCAACAACACCAUCAGGACGAUUAACUUCGAAAUCUCUCGACCCUCUAGUAACGAUAUUGCCAUAACAUAGUCUUUUGCAGUACAAUAGAUUUUGUUUAUUGUUGUCAAACUACUGUAUAUCGGCUGAACUAAAGAAAAAUGGCACCGCUAGCAUACGGUACUUCUGUGAAGUGAUCAAAGUAACAAUCUCGCUUCAUUUUUUAACGUAAUCUAUCGGGCGAUUUAAUAAAGAAUAGAAAGUUGAUUGCGGGACACUUUUGAAUAUACUAUUCAAAAAUCCGUGCUAGCUGUACCUAAUUAUAUUUGCUUGUAGCUGGACUAGAACAGUAACGAAGAAAAACUCAGUGUCUUUUUUUCUGUUUUUAGCUUGCACCUCGAUAAGCAUCGAGCCGUUUUUUUUACGGGCUGUGCUGAAGUUACUUAGAAUCUAUAUCCAAAUUUAAAAUUGAUGUGAAUGGCAUCGCCUUAUCAAAUAUAUAUAAUGAUCGGAUUGCAUUAAAAAAUCUGGUAAUUUCAAUUGUAUUUAUGUAUAUCAUCACCCAGACGACCGCCAGAGGUCUCUUAUUCUUACUAUGGAAACGAGGUAUACCAUCUUUGCCUAUAUCUUCGCUUCGUUUUGAUAAAAUUACAAAAGUGUGGAGUUCGAUAUUGUUUAUCAGUUAUAGAGAAGUUCGUCGUUUUACCACUCCUGAUUUCCUGAAAAUGCUAAAUGUGUAAAAACUGUUUGCAUGGAGGGCGAAUGACUUCUACAGCGUAAAAAGAAUGCAGAAUAAUCGUUUCAAUAAAAAAGAUUAGAUAAACGUAAUCUUUUCAUAUAUAUUGAAAACGAAGCGGUCUUUGAGGCCGACGCUUAUAAACAAAAUCUUGCCUUGUCGAAGACUUGGCCAUAGAAAACAUAUCUUCAAAGGAAAGAAC
rnacentral:lncRNA from 11 species